rnacentral:tRNA from 1 species
GGCCAGUUAGCUCAGUCAGUUAGAAUGUGGUGCUGAUAACACCAAGGUCGCGGGUUUGAUUCCCGUUUGGUCC